rnacentral:rRNA from 1 species
CGUGGGACGUAAAGCGCAUGCAGGCGGCCUAGUUAAGUCAGAUGUAGAAACGGCCCGGGGUACUUAACCGUACGGUAAUUGCUAUUUAGAAACGUGGCGAGGCUAGAGUCUUGUAGAGGGGGUAGAAUUUCAGGUGUAGCGGUGAAAUGCGUAGAGAUCUGAAGGAAUACCAGUGGCGAAGGCGGCCCCCUGGACAAAGACUGACGCUCAGAUGCGAAAGCGUGGGGAGCAAACAGGAUUAGAUACCCUGGUAG